rnacentral:rRNA from 1 species
GACGACCGGCGCACGGGUGAGUAACGCGUAUGCAACCUGCCUAUAAGAGGGGGAUAGCCUUUCGAAAGAAAGAUUAAUACCGCAUAAUACUAUUUACCUGCAUGGGUAAAUAGUUAAACUAUUUGGCUUAUAGAUGGGCAUGCGUUCCAUUAGAUAGUUGGUGAGGUAACGGCUCACCAAGUCAGCGAUGGAUAGGGGUUCUGAGAGGAAGGUCCCCCACACUGGUACUGAGACACGGACCACACUCCUACGGGAGGCAGCAGUGAGGAAUAUUGGUGGGGGGGGCGAGAGCCUAAACCAGCCAAUUCGCGUGAAGGAUGAAGGUCUUAUGGAUUGUAAACUUCUUUUAUAAGGGAAUAAAAAAGAUCACGUGUGGUCUAUUGCAUGUACCUUAUGAAUAAGCAUCGGCUAACUCCGUGCCAGCAGCCGCGGUAAUACGGAGGAUGCGAGCGUUAUCCGGAUUUAUUGGGUUUUAAAGGGUGCGUAGGCGGUUUAUUAAGUCAGUGGUGAAAGUUUUCGGCUCAACCGGGAAAAUUGCCAUU